rnacentral:lncRNA from 1 species
GGCGGCAGCGGGACGGUGUAGAAAAUGGCGCUGGUGCAGCGGCUCGGGCCUGUCCCCGCGGCGCUGCGGAGGGCUUGAGGCUCGCGAGCCUCGUUCCCCGCGCCUCACGCGCUAGUGCACUUUACACACAUGAGAGAAUUGGAAGCUAAAGCUACCAAAGACGUAGAGAGAAAUCUUAGCAGGGAUUUAGUGCAAGAAGAAGAACAGUUGAUGG